rnacentral:rRNA from 1 species
UACGGAGGGUGCGAGCGUUGUCCGGAAUCACUGGGCGUAAAGGGCGCGUAGGCGGUCUGGAUAAGCGUGGGGUGAAAGUCCGGGGCUCAACCCCGGAUCGGCCUUGCGGACUGUCCGACUGGAGCACAGUAGAGGCGGGUGGAAUUCCGGGUGUAGCGGUGGAAUGCGUAGAGAUCCGGAAGAACACCGGUGGCGAAGGCGGCCCGCUGGGCUGUGGCUGACGCUGAGGCGCGACAGCGUGGGGAGCAAACAGG